rnacentral:rRNA from 1 species
GAUGAACGCUGGCGGCGUGCCUAAUACAUGCAUGUCGAGCGAAUGGAUUAAGAGCUUGCUCUUAUGAAGUUAGCGGCGGACGGGUGAGUAACACGUGGGUAACCUGCCCAUAAGACUGGGAUAACUCCGGGAAACCGGGGCUAAUACCGGAUAACAUUUUGAACCGCAUGGUUCGAAUUUGAAAGGCGGCUUCGGCUGUCACUUAUGGAUGGACCGGCGUCGCAUUAGCUAGUUGGUGAGGUAACGGCUCACCAAGGCAACGAUGCGUAGCCGACCUGAGAGGGUGAGCGGCCACACUGGGACUGAGACACGGCCCAGACUCCUACGGGAGGCAGCAGUAGGGAAUCUUCCGCAAUGGACGAAAGUCUGACGGAGCAACGCCGCGUGAGUGAUGAAGGCUUUCGGGUCGUAAAACUCUGUUGUUAGGAAAGAACAAGUGCUAGUUGAAUAAGCUGACACCUUGACGGUACCUAACCAGAAAGCCACGGCUAACUACGUGCCAGCCGCCGCCGUAA